rnacentral:rRNA from 1 species
UACAGAGGGGGCAAGCGUUGUUCGGAAUUACUGGGCGUAAAGGGCGCGUAGGCGGCCUGCUAAGUCGAACGUGAAAUCCCUGGGCUCAACCCAGGAACUGCGUCCGAUACUGGUUGGCUUGAAUCCGGGAGAGGGAUGUGGAAUUCCAGGUGUAGCGGUGAAAUGCGUAGAGAUGUGGAGGAACACCAGUGGCGAAGGCGGCUUUCUGGUCUGUAACUGACGCUGAGGCGCGAAAGCGUGGGGAGCAAACAGG